AGUGAACGCUGGCGGUAGGCCUAACACAUGCGAGUCGAACGGCAGCACAGUAAGAGCUUGCUCUUACGGGUGGCGAGUGGCGGACGGGUGAGGAAUACAUCGGAAUCUACUUUUUCGGGGGGGAUAACGUAGGGAAACUUACGCUAAUACCGCAUACGACCUACGGGUGAAAGCAGGGGAUCUUCGGACCUUGCGCGAUUGAAUGAGCCGAUGUCGGAUUAGCUAGUUGGCGGGGUAAAGGCCCACCAAGGCGACGAUCCGUAGCUGGUCUGAGAGGAUGAUCAGCCACACUGGAACUGAGACACGGUCCAGACUCCUACGGGAGGCAGCAGUGGGGAAUAUUGGACAAUGGGCGCAAGCCUGAUCCAGCCAUACCGCGUGGGUGAAGAAGGCCUUCGGGUUGUAAAGCCCUUUUGUUGGGAAAGAAAAGCAGCAGGUUAAUACCCCGCUGUUCUGACGGUACCCAAAGAAUAAGCACCGGCUAACUUCGUG
rnacentral:rRNA from 1 species